ensembl:snRNA U2 U2 spliceosomal RNA
GUUGCUUCUUGGCCUUUUGGCUAAGAUCAAGCAUAGUAUCUGUUCUUAUCAGUAUAGGAGCGAAUAGUAGAAAAGACUGGAGACUGAUUAUUGUAGUAAUUCAAACUGGAGACACUGUUACCUCAA